rnacentral:rRNA from 1 species
GGUAGCAUAAUCAUUAGUCCUUUAAUUGGGGACUGGUAUGAAUGGUAAACGAGAAAUUAGCUUUCUUUGUUAUGGUUGUUGAAUUUAACUUGUAAGUGAAAAGGCUUACAUGAUUCAGAAAGACGAGAAGACCCUAUAGAGUUUUACAAAGGCCUAAAAUACAGCUUAUUAGUUUUUAAGGGUUAUAUUUUGGAAAUUUGUUUGGUUGGGGCGACAUAAAGAUAAAAAAAACUCUUUGUAGUAUAAACUUUGGUGGAAGAAAGGUUUGAUCCUCUAAAAGGGAUUAUAAGAAAAAAAUUACCUUAGGGAUAACAGCGUAAUCUUCUUUUAGAGUUCAAAUCGACAAGA